GGGUAGGCGCGUACCUAAUCAUGCAAGUCGAGCGAACUGAUUAGAAAUCGUGCUUCUAUGACGUUAGCGGCGGAUGGGUGAGUAACACGUGGGCAACCUGCCUGGAGGAAUGGGAUAACUUCGGGAAACCUAAUCUAAUACCGGAUAGGAUCUUCUCCUUCAUGGAUCAUGAUUGAAAGAUGGUUUCGGCUAUCCCUUACCGAUGGGCCCGCGGUGCAUUAUCUAGGUGGUGAGGUAACAGCUCACCAAGGUGACCAUGCAUAACCAACCUGAGAGGGUGAUCUGCCACACUGGGACUGAGACACGGCCCAGACUCCUACGGGAGGCAGCAAUAAGGAAUCUUCCCCAGUGGACGAAAUUCUGACGGAGCAACGCCGCGUGAGUGAUCAAGGCUUUCUGGUCUAGAACUCUGUUGUUAGGGAAGAACACCUGUGAGAUUAACUGCUCGUACCUUGACGGUACCUAGCCAGAAACCCGCCGCUAACUACGUGCCAGCAACCGCUGUAAUACUUAAGUGGCAAGCGUUAUCCUGAAUUAUUGGGCGUAAACCGCGCGCAUGCGGUUUCUUAACUCUGAUGUGAAACCCCACGGCUCAUCCGUGAAUGGUCAUUGAAAACUGGGGAACUUGAAUGCAAAAUACAAAAGCGGAAUUCCACGUGUAACGUUGAAAUGCGUACACAUGUGGAGGAACACCCUUGGCGAACGCAGCUUUUUGGUCUGUAACUGACGCUUAGGCGCGAAAGCGUGGGGAGCACACAGGGAUUACAAACCUGG
rnacentral:rRNA from 2 species